CCUACGGGUGGCAGCAGUGGGGAAUAUUGCACAAUGGGCGAAACCCUGAUGCAGCGACGCCGCGUGAGCGAAGAAGUAUUUCGGUACGUAAAGCUCUGUCCGCAGGAAAGAAAAUGACGGUACCUGACUAAGAAGCCCCGGCUAACUACGUGCCAGCAGCCGCGGUAAUACGUAGGGGGCAAGCGUUAUCCGGAUUUACUGGGUGAAAGGGGAGCGUAGAUGGCUCCGUAAGUCUGAGGUGAAAGGCCAGGGCCAAACCCGAGUACGCCUUGGAAACUGGGAAACUUGAGUGCAGGAGAGGAGAGUGGAAUUCCUAGUGUAGCGGUGAAAUGCGUAGAUAUUAGGAGGAACACCAGCGGCGAAGGCGGCUUUCUGGACUGUAACUGACGUUGAGGCACGAAGGCGUGGGGAGCAAACAGGAUUAGAUACCCCAGUAGUC
rnacentral:rRNA from 1 species